rnacentral:rRNA from 1 species
GAUGAACGCUGGCGGCGUGCCUAAUACAUGCAAGUCGAGCGAAGCGGGGACGGGUGAGUAACACGUGGAUAACCUCCUAUAAGACUGGGAUACCUUCGGGAAACCGGACUUAUACCCGAAACUUCUAGAUGGAUCCGUGCUGCAUUAGCUAGUUGGUAAGGUAACGGCUUACCAAGGCAACGAUACAUAACCGACCUGAGAGGGAGACAGGCCAAACCGGGACUGAGAAACGGCCCAGACUACCACGGUAGGCAGCAGUAGGGAAUUUUCGGAAAUGGGGGGAAACCUGACCGGGCAACUCCGGGGGAGGGAAGAAGGGUUUCGGAUCGGAAAGGUCUGUUGUGUAGGAAGCGUUACUUAACGAGAAAGGGACGGCUAACUACGUGCCAGCAGCCGCGGUAAUGC